GACGAACGCUGGCGGCGUGCUUAACACAUGCAAGUCGAACGGAAAGGCCCUGCUUUUGUGGGGUGCUCGAGUGGCGAACGGGUGAGUAACACGUGAGUAACCUGCCCUGGACUUUGGGAUAACUUCAGGAGACUGGGGAUAAUACCGGAUAGGAGCUCCUGCUGCAGGGUGGGGGUUGGAAAGUUUCGGCGGUUGGGGGUGUACUCGCGGCUUAUGAGCUAGUUGGUGGGGUAAUGGCUUACCAAGGGGUUGGUGGGUAGCCGGUCUGGGAGGAUGAUCAGGCACAUGGGAACUGAGACACGGUCCAGACGCCUAUGGGAGGCAGCAGUAGGGAAUAUUGGACAAUGGGCGAAAGCCUGAGCCAGCCAUGCGGCGUGUGUGAAGAAGGUCUUCGGAUUGUAAAGCACUUUAAGUGGGGAGGAAGGGCAGUAAGUUAAUACCUUGCUGUUUUGACGUUACCAACAGAAUAAGCACCGGCUAACUUCGUG
rnacentral:rRNA from 1 species